rnacentral:rRNA from 1 species
GACGAACGCUGGCGGCGUGCUUAACACAUGCAAGUCGAACGGAAAGGCCCCUUCGGGGGUACUCGAGUGGCGAACGGGUGAGUAACACGUGAGUAACCUGCCCUUGACUUCGGGAUAACUUCAGGAAACUGGGGCUAAUACCGGAUAGGAAUCCUUGCUGCAUGGUGGGGGUUGGAAAGCUUCGGCGGUUUUGGAUGGACUCGCGGCUUAUCAGCUUGUUGGUGGGGUAGUGGCUUACCAAGGCUUUGACGGGUAGCCGGCCUGAGAGGGCGACCGGCCACAUUGGGACUGAGAGACGGCCCAGACGCCUACGGGAGGAAGCAGUGGGGAAUAUUGCACAAGGGGCGGAAGCCUGAUGCAGCAACGCCGCGGGCGGGAUGACGGCCUUCGGGUUGUAAAACGCUUUCAGCAGGGGCGAAGCUUGUGGUGACGGUACCUGAAGAAGAAGCACCGGCUAACUACGUG